rnacentral:tRNA from 1 species
GAGCCACUAGCUCAUCAGGCAGAGCAACGGCCUUUUAAGCCGUCGGUGCCGCGUUCGAGUCGCGGGUGGCUCA